GGAUUGUGGCUCAGCGGUAGAGCACUUUCCUGGCACGGGCGGACCUGGGUUCAAUCCUCAGCACCA
rnacentral:tRNA from 1 species